rnacentral:rRNA from 1 species
CACGUAGGGCGCGAGCGUUGUCCGGAAUUAUUGGGCGUAAAGAGCUCGUAGGCGGCCUGUUGCGUCCGCUGUGAAAGCCCGGGGCUUAACCCCGGGUCGGCAGUGGAUACGGGCAGGCUAGAGUGUGGUAGGGGAGAUCGGAAUUCCUGGUGUAGCGGUGAAAUGCGCAGAUAUCAGGAGGAACACCGGUGGCGAAGGCGGAUCUCUGGGCCAUUACUGACGCUGAGGAGCGAAAGCGUGGGGAGCGAACAGG